UAAUGACUCUCGGCAACGGAUAUCUAGGCUCUUGCAUCGAUGAAGAACGUAGCGAAAUGCGAUACUUGGUGUGAAUUGCAGAAUCCCGUGAACCAUCGAGUCUUUGAACGCAAGUUGCGCCUGAAGCCAUUAGGUUGAGGGCACGUCUGCCUGGGCGUCACAU
rnacentral:rRNA from 4 species